rnacentral:lncRNA from 1 species
UUUCCAAUUUCCUAGCUGUCACAAUAUUCAACAGACUGCAUCCUUCUACAUUUUGGACAGACUAAUGGAUUCACAGGAUAGGAUCAUUGUUACUAUUUCUAGGGAACUUCAGAGUAUGGCUUAGGUAUGAUUACCUAUCCAGGUUACCAUUAUAAGUUCAUUUUACUCUAAGGAUGGACAAAUGCUACUGUCCGAAUGUUUCUCGGAAUACCACUAGGCAUUCUAUGAAUGACCAGGUAGUCUGAUUAUCAAAAUCCCAUUAGAUCUCACUCGAUCCUCUGGGAAGUUGGGAUGUGAGGAUGACUAUAUUAGUGACGUUACCAUUUGGGGAGGAUUUCUAGGUACCAGACAGAGAGAGCUAAGCACUUCUAUCAACGACCUCCCAAUCCCCAGGAUGAUCUUUUGAGUUUACGGUUAUUAUUUCCAUGUCCCAAAUGAUAAAUCACACAAUUCAGAGAGGGACCCAUCACACGCUGAAGAGUAUGGGGUCAAGCACGUAAAGGCACAGACUGAUGUUCUUUUAGAAUUCAGUGCAUCCCACUGCCUGGUCUCCUCUCCCUGCCCCCGCCUGGCCUGAGGUCCUUCAGCACGUCCAUGGCUGUGCUCACCCUGCUCCCUCUGUCUGGAUGGCCCUUCCUCUCCCCUCUGCCUGGGAAACACAGUCAUCGCUCAAGACGCAGCUCUGGCACCACAUCCUCUAAGAAGCCAUAUUACUGUCUCUCCCACCCCUACACACCCUGUGGACAGGACCCUGUGGUUCUUCCGCCCCACUCUUCUCUGCUCCCCAGUUUAUUACCAAACCCAUGACAUGUGAUGUUGGUACUGAUCUUUUUUGUCUCUCUUCAGUAUUAAACUGCCAUCUUUUCAGACUAGACUGUAUCAUCUUCUUCCACACAUUCCCACAGCCUAGAUCAGUGCCUGACACUUAGUAGGUGUUCACUGUACAUGUAUUGCAUUGAUGGGCAGAUGGCAAAAGUGAUGAGUGGAAAAAAUACCUUCUAGAAUUUAAGGGAAUCAGCAUACAGGCAGUCAACGCUGUAAUGUGUAUUUGCUGUAUUCUUUGAGAAUAUUCAGCUCUGCUCUAGAAGACAAGAAAACAGUAAAAUGGAUGAAACUCCUGAGAUAUGUGAGAUAUAGAUAAUGGAGAACGAGUAGCUCAUGAAACAUUGACAAAAAUGUGUUAGGUUAAGUAAGUAAGUUAGGAAUCCAUGAGACAGGUUAGACAUGGAGAAAGCUAGUAAAGCAUGUAUUGCUCAACAUAGAAAAGGCCAGAAGGACAAAGAGGCAACAAAUAUUCAUGAACCUUUAGAUGAACGUGAGGAAUAUGAGACAUUCAGUAUUCAUGUGGUCUUAAGUUGACACCCCCCGCCCCCAGUAGUGUUACUAUUUCUGGUAUCAUGUACCCUUUGCCUAAGGAAUAUAGAUAAAAUCCAUAGUGGCUUUUCAGGCAAAUCGGCAUUGCUAUUGGUCAGGGGACUUGCUGUGUAUCUCUGUGAUACAGCAAGCUUGGGCUGGUUUCAGGCACCUUUGGGCUGAACCUUCUUGUUUAAAUCUCAUCUCAUCUGUAUAACUCGCCAUCAGUGGGGACGGCUGUUGAGGAAGAGAGAGAGAGGAUGCAUGAAUAGUGGGCCACAGGAUCAGGUAAUGUGGCCCCUGCACCCUACCUUGAGUGUAGUUCCCUCCCUACCACAUCUGUCCCCUCUUCUUCUAGCUGUGUUUUUGAAAGGAUUCGAUUAGCUAUAUGUUUCAAGCAUAUUAAUUUAGGGUGAGCCCCUCUAUGCCAUGAUCUCAGGGGUAUCUUGCCUAGUAGCAUAAUUACAAGCUACCACUGCAUCAAGGAAAUUCCCAAUGACAAGUAUAUGUCCUGUAAACCCCUCUAGGGCUUCCUUCCCUUGGAGGCCAAACAUGGCAGCUCCCUGUCAGACUGACUGGUCUUUUCUCCAAUUACUAUAAGAAAAAAGAAAAUUCAAGGUACCGGAAAUCUUUAUAUCCAGAUUGCACAGCAGAAAUAUUGAGAUUAUAGGAGUUCCCUGGUGGCCUAGCGGGUUAAGGAUCUGGCAUUGUCACUGCUGUGGCCCAGGUCACUGCUGUGGUGCAGGCUCAAUCCCUGGCCCUGGAACUUCCACGUGCCUCUGGCACGGCCAAUAAAAAUGAGAUUAUAGACACGCUAAACAUUCAGUACUCAGGCAUGAGUUGUAGUCCUAUUUUUAUGCAAAAUACUUAUGACAAAUUUUAAAGGAAAAUUGCCUAACUGAGAUGCUUUAUGAUUAACUGCUGCAAAUGUGAGAAACUCUGAGUCUUCUCUCCAAUUAUGAGUAAGCAAUUUUAUUUUUUCUCAGUGUCAGGGCAACCCAAGUCCACACAAAUAGGCCCUUGCAGAAUCCCACAACUUCACCCUGUGUAGCCAGUUUGAAUUCCUAUAUGUGUGGCCCAAUAAAAAGUUAUAAUCUGACUGAGUGGGUUGUUGGCCGUCUGAGUCCAUUCCUAGCAUGUGAUAUUACUUCAGACUUUCAUUCUUGUUUAUUGGCCAUCGAUAGUAUUAUGAGUCUUGUUUAUUACUGCUGGUUUCACACAGCUCAACUUCAUGUAUAAAAAAUGUUCUCUCUCCUGAGUCACAUUUAAAUUUAUUCACAUCGAGUUCCAAGAUUCUUCCUUUCUUUGGACAAGAUCUAUAUUAAAUGAGUCUGUAGAGCCACUGUUUCCCCCCCUCAUCCUAGCAAAUGGCCCCUUCAAAAUGGGUUUGUUGAGCAUCACAUUGUAACUGUGCUUGUGAAAGCUCCUCACAACCAAGAUCUACUGGUUCAGGAAGUGAAAAAAGAAAAACGAAAGGAAGGAAAAGAAAAAUAAUUAUCUCCUUUUGAUCUUGUAUAUUGAAUUUACUUUCGAUCUUCUAAUAACAGUAUGAUAUUCAGUCUCUGCCGGAAUGGAGUUGUGACAUCUAGGGCUUGGAGGGUGUGUGAUGCUAGAAAAAUAGCCUUAUGGGGCCUUGGGGACCAUUGAUGUGUCUCUGACCCUGUGGAGCUGCUUAUUGUCAGUGCAUAACAGAGUCAGGGCACGUUUUAUAUGUACUGGUGAAAACAAACAGAACUUGGUGGUACUUGGGACUUUUCACCCGAAGAUCUCCAUGGGUCUACAGUACUAGGACCAGGCAAACUUCCGCUGGAAGAUUUCUCCUUUGGUCUUAGGGUUGUCUGUUUACAACCCAAUUAACAUUCUUGAAGCUGGGAGGAGGACCAGUCUCCCUGCAUGCUUAGCUCAGGCCACUGCUGAUGUAAUAUGGAGCCCCAGUGAGCUGGCUUCUCUCUAGACAAUGGGGAGAAAGCCUGAGCUAGAGGGCACAUCAACCCACCCUGGACUGGAGCCUAAGCUCCACUCCCUAAGCACCUGCAGGAAAGCAGCAUCCAGUCCAAAGCCCCAUGCUCUGGCCUCCCACCAGGGAGCCAGCGGCUGACCCCCAGCCCCCACCCCCACAGCCAAUGGCUGCCUCGCCUUCCCCAGCAUCUGCCCAAUCGCUCUUCCCCAGCUUGGGAACCCUUGGAGGACAGUCUUUCACUGUGCGCUCGCUGCUCGCUCGGUUCAGCCCUCAAACUGAAAUCUGCUGAGGAGGCAGUGCAUUGUCUUUACCUCACAUUAAGAUGCAAAUAGCUGACAUCAAAGGCUUUCCUGACAGCUGGUUUUGCAGGGGCGCACUCUGGGCUGUGUGAGGAAAGGGAAGUGCAGAAGUGGAAGUGGCAGAGUUGAGGGUG